CAGACAUGACUGAGCAACUAACACUUUCUUUCACUUUCAAUACUUUAACUAUGUCAGCAGAACCAUGUAUAUGUUUCACUGAGUUAAACGAAUUAAACUGAACUGAGUUAAAAUGAACCACAUCCAGAUUGGGAGUGUGUCUCAUGAGUGUGUCUACAUUGAGAAGCUUGCACAUUUGUUUAUGAGAAUAUCUCAUUUUUAUAAUAUUUUAUAUACAUGGUAUUAAUAUAUAUUAAUGUGCUUAUAUAUAUUUAUUUGAAUGGGAGUAUCUUUUUUUUAGUUUAAAAUGUGGAUUCUAUCCAUUUCAACUUAUCCUUUUUUUGUCUUUCAGAAAUCAUAAGUCAGAAUAAUUUAAUAUGUUUACCUAGUCCAGAUGGACUCUAAUAGAUCAGUUAGAUUGAAGAGACUAGACAAGAAGAACUCUUGACAGUAAUGACCCGAACUCUCAGCUAUAUGCAAAUUAAUUUACUUAGUGAAGAUAGUCUGAAAUAUUAUGAUAACAAUUAAGACUGUUCUAAUUAUCUGUCCAGGUUACUUUCCCAACCCCAGAUUCAGAGUAAGAAAUGGCAGCCCACUCCAAUAUUCAAGCCUGGAAAGCUAUCAAUAUCAGGUUAAAAUAAUUACUCCUUUGGGAACAUUUCGUUAACUUCAUUUACAGAGAUCUAAAUUCCAUCCAAGCAAAAGACGUAAUAAAUGCAAAACUCAAUUGGAAAAAUAAAGAGGU
rnacentral:lncRNA from 1 species